rnacentral:piRNA from 1 species
UAACAGGGAAACAAAGUUCUAUGAGUAGGG